GCUGUGAUGGGUAGGGGAGCGUCGUGUGCCGGGUGAAGCAGCCGCGGAAGCGAGUUGUGGACGGUUCACGAGUGAGAAUGCAGGCAUGAGUAGCGAUACACACGUGGGAAACGUGUGCGCCGAUUGACUAAGGGUUCCUGGGUCAAGCUGAUCUGCCCAGGGUAAGUCGGGACCUAAGGCGAGGCCGACAGGCGUAGUCGAUGGACAACCGGUUGAUAUUCCGGUACCCGCUUUGAAACGCCCAAUAUCGAAUCAGGCGAUGCUAAGUCCGUGAAGCCGCCCUGGAUCCUUCGGGUGAAGGGGAGUGGUGGAGCCGACGAUCCAGACUUGUAGUAGGUAAGCGAUGGGGUGACGCAGGAAGGUAGUCCAGCCCGGGCGGUGGUUGUCCCGGGGUAAGGGUGUAGGCCGUGUGGUAGGCAAAUCCGUCACACGUUAAGGCUGAGACCUGAUGCCGAGCCGAUUGUGGUGAAGUGGAUGAUCCUAUGCUGUCGAGAAAAGCCUCUAGCGAGUUUCAUGGCGGCCCGUACCCUAAACCGACUCAGGUGGUCAGGUAGAGAAUACCGAGGCGUUCGGGUGAACUAUGGUUAAGGAACUCGGCAAAAUGCCCCCGUAACUUCGGGAGAAGGGGGGCCAUUCCUGGUGAUCGGAUUUACUCCGUGAGCUGGGGGUGGCCGCAGAGACCAGCGAGAAGCGACUGUUUACUAAAAACACAGGUCCGUGCGAAGCCGUAAGGCGAUGUAUACGGACUGACGCCUGCCCGGUGCUGGAACGUUAAGGGGACCGGUUAGCUCUGUUUCGACAGGGCGAAGCUGAGAACUUAAGCGCCAGUAAACGGCGGUGGUAACUAUAACCAUCCUAAGGUAGCGAAAUUCCUUGUCGGGUAAGUUCCGACCUGCACGAAUGGCGUAACGACUUCUCGACUGUCUCAACCAUAGGCCCGGUGAAAUUGCACUACGAGUAAAGAUGCUCGUUUCGCGCAGCAGGACGGAAAGACCCCGGGACCUUUACUAUAGCUUGAUAUUGGUGUUCGGUUCGGCUUGUGUAGGAUAGGUGGGAGACUGUGAAGCAUGCACGCCAGUGUGUGUGGAGUCGUCGUUGAAAUACCACUCUGGUCGUGCUGGAUGUCUAACCUGGGUCCGUGAUCCGGAUCAGGGACAGUGUCUGGUGGGUAGUUUAACUGGGGCGGUUGCCUCCUAAAGGGUAACGGAGGCGCCCAAAGGUUCCCUCAGCCUGGUUGGCAAUCAGGUGUUGAGUGUAAGUGCACAAGGGAGCUUGACUGUGAGACCGACGGGUCGAGCAGGGACGAAAGUCGGGACUAGUGAUCCGGCGGUGGCUUGUGGAAGCGCCGUCGCUCAACGGAUAAAAGGUACCCCGGGGAUAACAGGCUGAUCUUCCCCAAGAGUCCAUAUCGACGGGAUGGUUUGGCACCUCGAUGUCGGCUCGUCGCAUCCUGGGGCUGGAGUCGGUCCCAAGGGUUGGGCUGUUCGCCCAUUAAAGCGGUACGCGAGCUGGGUUUAGAACGUCGUGAGACAGUUCGGUCCCUAUCCGCUGUGCGCGUAGGAGUCUUGAGAAGGGCUGUCCCUAGUACGAGAGGACCGGGACGGACGAACCUCUGGUGUGCCAGUUGUCCUGCCAAGGGCAUGGCUGGUUGGCUACGUUCGGGAGGGAUAACCGCUGAAAGCAUCUAAGCGGGAAGCCUGCUUCGAGAUGAGGACUCCCACCCACUUGAUGGGGUAAGGCUCCCAGUAGACGACUGGGUUGAUAGGCCAGGUGUGGAAGACCGGUAACGGUUGGAGCUGACUGGUACUAAUAGGCCGAGGGCUUGUCCUCAGUUG
rnacentral:rRNA from 1 species